rnacentral:lncRNA from 1 species
CAAGAAUGGUGGAAGGUUGAACACAAUUGAGAGUUAUCACAGAGGAGGGAGAGGCAGGACUUAGUGACAGACGGGAGGGAGUUUCCUUCUCCCUGGCAUGAUGUCAGAGGUCUCUUACAGUCUAGCCCAGCCCACUCCCCCAACUCCUCCCUGGCAUGCUUGGUUAUCCUUUCCUCCUUCCCCUUUCAUAUGUGCUUUAGAACUUUGUGAUCAGCUGCAGUCCCUGAUGAACCUUGCUUUCUUACUUCCUCUUUCCCUGUGCUCUCUCCCUCCCUUCCUCUCUUUCUUUCUUUUUCCUCUUUCUGAUUGGAGUCUCACUAGGUUGCCCAGGCUAACCUUAAAUAACUCCUGGGUUCCAUGGAUCCUCCUGCUUCCAUCUUCCGAGUAGUUGGGACUACAAGUAUACCCCACUACACCCAGCUUCCUAGGUUUCAGACUCCACAGGAGAAUGAGUGAUCUUAUCUGUUUUGCCCACAUUUGAAUCCUCUGAAUUUAGCACAUUGCUGACACAUUCUAGGUUUAUUCACUAUCUGCUGAAUAAAUAUGUGGAUCAAUGAAUAAAGCCUACAUUCUAGCAAGCCAACCCCUCGCUCAGCCAGAAGAACCCCUGCAUCUUGAUGUGUCCUCACCAUUGUACACACUUUUCCUCCUCCUUAGGAUCCAUCUUACAUAACUAGAGAGGUGCUAUUUGUUCUUUCAGAAACUCAGCUCAAAAAUCACCUGCUCUGGGUGUCCUUUCUUUCCUUCUCAGAGAAGAACUGGCUCUUUGCUCUUCUCCUGUCUUCAUCAAUGCAGGGAUUUCAUAUGCU